rnacentral:rRNA from 1 species
UACGUAGGGUGCAAGCGUUAAUCGGAAUUACUGGGCGUAAAGCGUGCGCAGGCGGUGAUGUAAGACAGAUGUGAGAUCCCCGGGCUCAACCUGGGAACUGCAUUUGUGACUGCAUCGCUGGAGUGCGGCAGAGGGGGAUGGAAUUCCGCGUGUAGCAGUGAAAUGCGUAGAUAUGCGGAGGAACACCGAUGGCGAAGGCAAUCCCCUGGGCCUGCACUGACGCUCAUGCACGAAAGCGUGGGGAGCAAACAGG